CAGUCGCCGCGGGAAUACAGAGGGUGCGAGCGUUAAUCGGAUUUACUGGGCGUAAAGCGUGCGUAGGCGGCUUCUUAAGUCGGAUGUGAAAUCCCUGAGCUUAACUUAGGAAUUGCAUUCGAUACUGGGAAGCUAGAGUAUGGGAGAGGAUGGUAGAAUUCCAGGUGUAGCGGUGAAAUGCGUAGAGAUCUGGAGGAAUACCGAUGGCGAAGGCAGCCAUCUGGCCUAAUACUGACGCUGAGGUACGAAAGCAUGGGGAGCAAACAGGAUUAGAUACCCCAGUAGUCCCUGUCUCUUAACA
rnacentral:rRNA from 1 species